GAAUGCGCGCUCAGCAGCUGCUUCAACAACACGGAGUGCUUCCACAACUACCACCACGAGCUCGCUCAGAACCCCGCGUCUCACCGGGUGUUCAACCUCACGCUGUGCGCGUUCGUCUCCACCGACUACCCACUCGAGUGCGACCAUCGCAACUGCACCCUGGACAUCGCCGCCUGCAAGCACCUGGACACGGCGAGCAUGCCGGG